rnacentral:rRNA from 1 species
GACGUAGGGCGCGAGCGUUUGUCCGGAAUUAUUGGGCGUAAAGAGCUCGUAGGCGGCUUGUCGCGUCGGCUGUGAAAUCCCGUGGCUCAACUGCGGGUCUGCAGCCGAUACGGGCAGGCUAGAGUUCGGUAGGGGAGACUGGAAUUCCUGGUGUAGCGGUGAAAUGCGCAGAUAUCAGGAGGAACACCGAUGGCGAAGGCAGGUCUCUGGGCCGAUACUGACGCUGAGGAGCGAAAGCGUGGGGAGCGAACAGG